rnacentral:rRNA from 1 species
UUACCGAGUUUACAACUCCCAAACCCCCGGGAACAUACCUAUACGUUGCCUCGGCGGAUCAGCCCGCGCCCCGUAAAAAGGGACGGCCCGCCCGAGGACCCCUAAACUCUGUUUUUAGUGGAACUUCUGAGUAAAACAAACAAAUAAAUCAAAACUUUCAACAACGGAUCUCUUGGUUCUGGCAUCGAUGAAGAACGCAGCAAAAUGCGAUAAGUAAUGUGAAUUGCAGAAUUCAGUGAAUCAUCGAAUCUUUGAACGCACAUUGCGCCCGCCAGUAUUCUGGCGGGCAUGCCUGUUCGAGCGUCAUUUCAACCCUCAAGCUCAGCUUGGUGUUGGGACUCGCGGUAACCCGCGUUCCCCAAAUCGAUUGGCGGUCACGUCGAGCUUCCAUAGCGUAGUAAUCAUACACCUCGUUACUGGUAAUCGUCGCGGCCACGCCGUAAAACCCCAACUUCUGAAUGUUGACCUCGGAUCAGGUAGGAAUACCCGCU